AGUUGAUCCUGCCAGUAGUCAUAUGCUGCC
rnacentral:rRNA from 1 species